rnacentral:rRNA from 1 species
AUUGAACGCUGGCGGCAGGCCUAACACAUGCAAGUCGAGCGAGUGACGGGCGGGUGAGUAAUGUCCGUGAAACUGGCCGAUGGGGAUGAAUAACUGCUAGGAACGGUAGCAAAUACCGCGUCCCAUCGAGUGUACCCCGGUGGAAGUAGCUGGUAGGGGGGGUAACGGCUCACCUAGGCGACGAUCCCUAGCUGGUCUGAGAGGAUGACCAGCCACACUGGAACUGAGACACGGUCCAGACUCCUACGGGAGGCAGCAGUGGGGAAUAUUGGACAAUGGGCGCAAGCCUGAUGCAGCCAUGCCGCGUGUAUGAAGAAGGCCUUCGGGUUGUAAAGUACUUUCAGCUGGGAGGCGUUACCCGCAGAAGAAGCACCGGCUAACUCCGUGCCAGCCGCCGCGGUAAUUC